GACGUAGGUGGCGAACGUUAUCCGGAAUUAUUGGGCGUAAAGGGUGCGUAGAUGGUGUAGUAAGUUAUCGGUGGCAAAUCGAGGCUCAACCUCGUGGAAGUCGGUAAUACUGCUAUGCUAGAGGAUAGGAGAGGUUAACGGAACUCCCUGUGGAGCGGUGAAAUGCGUAGAUAUAGGGAAGAACACCAAUCAGGCGAGGGCAGUUAACUAUUCUAUUCCUGACAUUGAGGCAUGAAAGCGUGGGGAGCAAACAGG
rnacentral:rRNA from 1 species